GGGUAGGUACCGAAGCGGUCAAACGGGGCAGACUGUAAAUCUGCUGGCUUUCGCCUUCUCAGGUUCGAAUCCUGACCUACCCACCA
rnacentral:tRNA from 1 species